rnacentral:rRNA from 1 species
UACGUAGGGUGCGAGCGUUAAUCGGAAUUACUGGGCGUAAAGCGUGCGCAGGCGGUUUUGUAAGCCAGAUGUGAAGUCCCCGGGCUUAACCUGGGAAUGGCAUUUGGGACUGCAAGGCUGGAGUGCGGCAGAGGAGACUGGAAUUCCUGGUGUAGCAGUGAAAUGCGUAGAUAUCAGGAGGAAUACCGAUGGCGAAGGCAGGUCUCUGGGCUGACACUGACGCUCAUGCACGAAAGCGUGGGGAGCAAACAGG